UGCUAAUAUUUUUGACAGUGGAUUAAAAUUUUAAGCCAGAUCAUCAGACUGCCCAUAAUUACCAUAGAUCCUGGUGGCCAGCAGAGACAACUGUUUUCAAGUGAGGAAUAUAGUUGAGAAAGUAUAUCCUAAAGAAUGAUUUCCUUUAGCUCUAAAGAUGAAGAGUAGGUCGUUGUUUACAUUGUUACUGUACACUCAAGUUUUAAAUAAUUAGAGAUGAGUUCUAAACCUGCCCACUAGCAAGUUCUGUGCCAUGAUGGGCCUUUUUGUAAAUAAGGGAGUGAACAAAUAAGUUGCCUUUAAGUAAAAGUGUAUACUAAACACCUUUUUAACCUAAAAUAUUCUAAAAUUAUUCAUGGGAAAGUAAAUAGGACUCAUUUCACAAAUCAACAGAACAAGAGAGUUUCUGCAUCUAUAAAAGUAGUAAUGGAAAAAUUCAUUAACAUUUAAUUGGAAGUGCUGAAUGAAUUUAAGCCUUCUAAAUUACAUCAAAGUUUGUUAACAUGUUUUGCUAAAUUUUGUAUUGUUGAAAAUAAUAGAAUUAGACAAUUACAACAGAUGUUUGCCUUCCAGUAAUUUUUCUCAAGUACAUUCCUCUCUGAAAUUUAGCAAGCUUUAACACAGUUUACACAGGAAAAGCUCAGUGAUUUUAUUGUCUAGUGUGACCUUUACCUGCUUUAUGCAGUAGCACUGUUAUCUACAAUUUUUCCUUCUCUGGUUUCAAUUAUCAGCAAUGAAUGUCCAAAAAUAUGCAGUGGGAAAUUCCAGGAAAUAAACUAUUCAUAAACUUAAAUUGCAUGCCAUUCUAAAAACAUAAUGACAUCACAGGCAGUCCCAGCCCAUUGCUGUAUUUGCUACCUACCCCACUAGUGAGUUAGCAGCCACCUUGGUUAUCAGACUCUCUCCGUAUCAUAGUGUUUGUGUUUGAGUAAUCUUUAUUUUAUUUAACAGUAGCCCAAAAGCAUAAAACUAUUGAUGCUGAAUAUGCCAAAAGAAGCUGUAAAGCACUUCCUGUAAGUGAAAAGGUAAACGUUCUUGACUUAAUAGAGUAAAACUAUUCUCAGGUUUCUAAGAACUAUGGCAAGGACAAAUAAGAAAAAAACAUUUUCCAUAGUUUCGUGCUGUGAUUUCAGGCAUCCACUAAGGGUUUUGGAAUGGUAAAAGGGUAUUACUAUGUUACAGUAUGAACAUUUGUGCUCCUAUUACAUUGGAAAUUUUAAUCAAAGUUCACCCUGGAAUCAAGUCUUUAAAAUGUUUUGGAAGGAGGAGAGUACCAUUUCCAAAUACUGACAAAUGUUGCAGGAAACAUGGGACCGAGAGGAGACCAGAAGUGAAAAAGUUGAGUUAGAGAUGCCAAAGGAUUCUUUCUUUUUGUUCUUAAUAUUUUGAUAAUUAAGAGUUUAAGCAUCUGACACAACAUGAAAGGAUUUUCAGAAGAAUUUUUAUCAUAGAAAUGAAGUUUUUUCUAGGAGUAAUAUUUUUACACUUACCCCCAAUUAACUCAGGUUUCCUGAGGUUAAUCAGAAUUUUAGUACAUGUAUAAGACAAAAUCUUACUGGUGUUUUCUGGAGUCAGAAAAUAUUUCUUUAUGCCAGUAAGAAUUAGGAGUGGAUUAUGCUUCCUCUAAGGCUUAUUCCACUCUUCUUUCCUGAUUGACUAAUGCCCACAACUAAAAUGGAGUACAUUAAAUAGUCCAAGCAACUUUUUGAAUAUACAAUAAGUCCCCAAUUUAGGAAAGAGUUCUGUUCCGAGAGAACUUUCUUAAGUCAAAUGUUAGUAAUUCCGACACAAAUAUACAGUGUAAAGCAUAAAAAAACUUCACAUGUUCCAUCAUCUUGUCCUUGUUCUUAAGAAUUGUGUAAAUGGGCAAAUGAUUCAUGUUAUAAGAAUGAGUUAAUGGCUAUCAUCUUUUCCCUUCUGUCUAAUCUCAAUUAUUUUUACUUUUGUUUCCAUGAUCAUUGCUCUGUGCUUCCUGGCAGUCCCCUCCACAUCACUACUGCUUUUCCUCUUGUUUCUAGACAUUCUGGGCUCUGAUUAAACACUGUACUACUGUACACUAUCGUACUGGACAGUAAGCACCCAGCAGCACAACUGUGACAAUGUCCGGCAGACUUCCUUGAGGUUUAACAUUGUUGUUAGGUUACGUCAUCAUCACCCGACUGUUUAGGAGCCAGGAAUCAAAGGUCUAGAGGGAUAAUUACCUUGAAGAGCCUACUGAGUAAAUAACCAGUGGAAAGUUCUGAGCAGAAGAAUGAUGUGAUGAGUUUUAGGUUUUAAUAGGAUUACUCUGGUUGCUAUGUUAAUAAUAACUUGUUGGGAAGCUCAGCUGGUCCCAGCACUCAGAAGGAAGCUCCCACCUCCAUCCCAGGCUCCUGGGGCAGAGAAGGUGAGCUGGUCCCAGAACCCGGAAGGAAGCUCCCCCGCUACCAUCCCAAGCUCCUAGGGCAGAGAAGCUCAGCUGGUCCCAACACCUGGAAGGAAGCUCCCCCACCGCCAUCCCAAGCUCCUAGGGCAGAGAAGCAGAGCCGGUCCCAGAACCGGGAAUUAAGCUCCCCUGCUGCCAUUCCAAGCUCCUAGGGCAGAGAAGGUGAGCCCUGUGGAUGCCAGAAGCACCCCCUUCUGUGGAAAUGA
rnacentral:lncRNA from 1 species